rnacentral:rRNA from 1 species
GAGGGAUCAUUACAAGUGACCCCGGUCUAACCACCGGGAUGUUCAUAACCCUUUGUUGUCCGACUCUGUUGCCUCCGGGGCGACCCUGCCUUCGGGCGGGGGCUCCGGGUGGACACUUCAAACUCUUGCGUAACUUUGCAGUCUGAGUAAACUUAAUUAAUAAAUUAAAACUUUUAACAACGGAUCUCUUGGUUCUGGCAUCGAUGAAGAACGCAGCGAAAUGCGAUAAGUAAUGUGAAUUGCAGAAUUCAGUGAAUCAUCGAAUCUUUGAACGCACAUUGCGCCCCCUGGUAUUCCGGGGGGCAUGCCUGUUCGAGCGUCAUUUCACCACUCAAGCCUCGCUUGGUAUUGGGCAUCGCGGUCCGCCGCGUGCCUCAAAUCGACCGGCUGGGUCUUCUGUCCCCUAAGCGUUGUGGAAACUAUUCGCUAAAGGGUGUUCGGGAGGCUACGCCGUAAAACAACCCCAUUUCUAAGGUUGACCUCGGAUCAGGUAGGGAUACCCGCU